UUUUGUAGCACUGGAGAACUUCAUUGAACAGUGAAGAACAAAAUCUUGGAUUCUAUUUAGUCUUGGGUGAGACUGUGGAAACAGGUUUCUCCCCACUGCUCCUGUUUCCAGUCUGGUGCCAUUUCCAUUAUGGUGGAAAAGAGACAGGGUAGUCUGACCUUGGAAAAGGGCUAUAAUCCAGUGUCUUUAUAGAGAUGAGGAAGCAGCUUUGACAAGCAGAAGUUAAACCCUAGAUGGUCCAGGACUAUCUAGCCAUUGCUUAA